GACGAACGCUGGCGGCGUGCUUAACACAUGCAAGUCGAACGGAAAGGCCCUGCUUUUGUGGGGUGCUCGAGUGGCGAACGGGUGAGUAACACGUGAGUAACCUGCCCUUGACUUUGGGAUAACUUCAGGAAACUGGGGCUAAUACCGGAUAGGAGCUCCUGCUGCAUGGUGGGGGUUGGAAAGUUUCGGCGGUUGGGGAUGGACUGGCGGCUUAUCAGCUUGUUGGUGGGUUAGUGGCUUACCAAGGCUUUGACGGGUAGCCGGCCUGAGAGGGUGACCGGCCACAUUGGGACUGAGAUACGGCCCAGACUCCUACGGGAGGCAGCAGUGGGGAAUAUUGCACAAUGGACGGAAGCCUGAUGCAGCAACGCCGCGUGCGGGAUGACGGCCUUCGGGUUGUAAACCACUUUCGCCUGUGACGAAGCGUGAGUGACGGUAAUGGGUAAAGAAGCACCGGCUAACUACGUGCCAGCCGCCGCCGUAAAAC
rnacentral:rRNA from 1 species